UACGUAGGUGGCAAGCGUUUGUCCGGAUUUACUGGGCGUAAAGGGCGCGUAGGCGGCCUUCUAAGUCGAACGUGAAAUCCCCGGGCUCAACCCGGGAACUGCGUCCGAGACUGAAAGGCUCGAAUCCGGGAGAGGGAUGUGGAAUUCCAGGUGUAGCGGUGAAAUGCGUAGAUAUCUGGAGGAACAUCGGUGGCGAAGGCGGCAUCCUGGACCGGUAUUGACGCUGAGGCGCGAAAAGCCAGGGGGAGCCAAACGGGGAUUAAGAAAACCC
rnacentral:rRNA from 1 species